UGGGCGAAAGCCUGAUGCAGCGACGCCGCGUGAGGGAUGACGGCCUUCGGGUUGUAAACCUCUUUCAGCAGGGAAGAAGCGAAAGUGACGGUACCUGCAGAAGAAGCGCCGGCUAACUACGUGCCAGCAGCCGCGGUAAUACGUAGGGCGCGAGCGUUGUCCGGAAUUAUUGGGCGUAAAGAGCUCGUAGGCGGCUUGUCGCGUCGGUUGUGAAAGCCCGGGGCUUAACCCCGGGUCUGCAGUCGAUACGGGCAGGCUAGAGUUCGGUAGGGGAGAUCGGAAUUCCUGGUGUAGCGGUGAAAUGCGCAGAUAUCAGGAGGAACACCGGUGGCGAAGGCGGAUCUCUGGGCCGAUACUGACGCUGAGGAGCGAAAGCGUGGGGAGCGAACAGGAUUAGAUACCCUGGUAGUCCACGCCGUAAACGGUGGGCACUAGGUGUGGGCGACAUUCCACGUCGUCCGUGCCGCAGCUAACGCAUUAAGUGCCCCGCCUGGGGAGUACGGCCGCAAGGCUAAAACUCAAAGGAAUUGACGGGG
rnacentral:rRNA from 1 species